rnacentral:rRNA from 1 species
GACGAACGCUGGCGGCGUGCUUAACACAUGCAAGUCGAACGGAAAGGCCCUGCUUUUGUGGGGUGCUCGAGUGGCGAACGGGUGAGUAACACGUGAGUAACCGGCCCUUGACUUUGGGAUAACUUCAGGAAACUGGGGCUAAUACCGUAUAGGAGCUCCUGCUGCAUGGUGGGGGUGGGAAAGUUUCGGCGGUUGGGGAUGGACUCGCGGCUUAUCAGCUUGUUGGUUGGGUAGUGGCUUACCAAGGCUUUGACGGGUAGCCGGCCCGAGAGGGUGACCGGCCACCUUGGGCCUGAGAUAGGGAGCAGAGUGCAACGGGGGGCAACAGUGGGGAAUAUUGUCCAAUGGUAGGAAGUCUGAUGCAGAGGCGUUGCGUGCGGGAUGCCGGCCUGCGGGUUGUAAACAGCUUCAGCCUGUGACGACGCGUGAGUGACGGUAAUGAGUAAAGAAGCACCGGCUAACUACGUG